rnacentral:rRNA from 1 species
AUUGAACGCUGGCGGCAUGCCUUACACAUGCAAGUCGAACGGCAGCGGGGACUUCGGUCCGCCGGCGAGUGGCGAACGGGUGAGUAAUGUAUCGGAACGUACCUUUCAGUGGGGGAUAACGUAGCGAAAGUUACGCUAAUACCGCAUAUUCUGUGAGCAGGAAAGCAGGGGAUCGCAAGACCUUGCGCUGAUUGAGCGGCCGAUAUCAGAUUAGCUAGUUGGUGGGGUAAAGGCCUACCAAGGCUACGAUCUGUAGCGGGUCUGAGAGGAUGAUCCGCCACACUGGGACUGAGACACGGCCCAGACUCCUACGGGAGGCAGCAGUGGGGAAUUUUGGACAAUGGGGGCAACCCUGAUCCAGCCAUGCCGCGUGAGUGAAGAAGGCCUUCGGGUUGUAAAGCUCUUUCGGCCGGGAAGAAAUCGCAUCAGCUAAUACCUGGUGUGGAUGACGGUACCGAAGUAAGAAGCACCGGCUAACUACGUG